UGUGCGGUUCAAUGAGAUUUUACACCGUGAACCUUACCAGGACCGACAGCAGAAUGAAGGUCAGUCUAAAGGGCUUACCUGACACGCUGAGAGGGGUUGCAUGGCCGACUUCAGCCUGUGUCUUGAGAUGACCUGUUAAAUCAGGUAACAGGCGAGACCCGCGUGCAUAGUUGCUAUCUGAAAAAGAGGCACUCUAUGCAGACUGCCUGGGUAACCAGGAGGAAGGUGCGGGCUACGUUAGGUAGUAUGACCCGAAUGCCCUGGGCAACACGCGCGCGGCAAUGCUGUAUGCAGAGGGAUGCGACUCCGAAAGGAGAAGCUAAUCCCUAAUAUACAGCCUAGUUCAGAUCGAGGUUUGUAACUCAGCCUCGUGACGAUGGAAUCCGUAGUAAUCGCACUUCAUCAGAGUGCGGUGAAUAAGUCCCGGUCCCUCGCACAUACUGUCCGUCAAACCAACCGAGUUUUGUAUUGAUGAGGCCCGUUGGGUCGAAUCUUUACGAGACAAGGCAGGUUAAGUCGUCGCAAGGUACCCGUAGGGGAACCUGCGGAUG
rnacentral:rRNA from 1 species